rnacentral:rRNA from 1 species
CCUACGAGAGGCCGCAGUGAGGAAUAUUGGUCAAUGGACGAGAGUCUGAACCAGCCAAGUAGCGUGAAGGAUGACUGCCCUAUGGAUUGUAAACUUCUUUUAUAUGGGAAUAAAAUGUUCCACGUGUGUGAUUUUGUCUGUACCAUAUGAGUACGGAUCGGCUAACCCCGUGCCAGCAGCCGCGGUAAUACGGAGGAUCCGAGAGUUAUCCGGAGUUACUGGGUUUAAAGGGAGCGUAGGUGGAUUGUUAAGUCAGUUGUGAAAGUUUGCGGCUCAACCGUAAAAUUGCAGUUGAAACUGGAAGGCUGGAGUACAGUAGAGGUGGGCGGAAUUCGUGGUGUAGCGGUGAAAUGCUUAGAUAUCACGAAGAACUCCGAUUGCGAAGGCAGUUCACUGGACUGCAACUGACACUGAGGCUCGAAAGUGUGGGUAUCAAACAGGAUUAGAUACCCUAGUAGUC